AAGCAGAAAUGGAGGCUCUUCGGGAAGCCAAAGGGGUGAGCAGAUAUGUUGAGGUUCCAGGUGCCCUUCUUCCACAAGAGGAAUAUCCUACUAUCAAUAUAAUCUAAAUUCCUGCUAAUACCCGUUAAGUAUAUGGAUCCUUUUUUCCCGACCCGGCGGUUACAUCCUACAACUAUGCACGGUUUCUUUUUUCCUGUCUCUUUUCCACAUUUCAAAUCUCCCACGUUUCAAAAGCCUCUCAACGGAUUAAACUGCUUUCAAGCUUAUACGCACACUGUUUUCUUUCUUUCAAACACUGCAAUACGUUUAUGUCUACGCCUCUGUUGAUUUCAUCCAAAGCUUGCAGCUAUUUGGAGGGGAGAUGGUGAGUUUUUGCAGGAUCAUGAUAAUGGGAAAAAGAGAAAAUACAGAAUUGUGCAGGAGUCAUUAGAAAACAAAAUCACGGGUGUGUAUGAUUCAUCUCCUGUCUUUUAAUAUAUUAUUGUACACUUUCUUCUUGCACUUCAUUUUUUGGGGAUGGUGGUUAAUUCAGUCCUAAAUUAUAGCCUUAGUGUCACACGGUUAUGUACACUUUCUUCUUGCACUUUAAUAAAGCUUGGUUUGUAUUGAUUUUUUCUAAAAUUUAUCUAGACAAUUCUGAUGUUCGUCCCAACAAUUCAAGUUGAUUUAAAUCUGAAUGUUUUUUAAAUACCGUGUGCCGUGUGGCUAUCUUCUGAGAACGAGGCUAUCUUCUCAUUCCGAUCCACAUUCAGAACUGAUUCAAACUGCUGUCUGUCUUCCACCCCCUGCUGAUUUUGAGUCUAUCAUUGUUUUGUGUUUGUUGUCUUCAAUGGAGCAGAAACGUUUGUAUUGUGCCGGUUUGUGCGUUCUCACCACUUAUGUGCUGUUGUAACUUCUGGUUUUAUCACAAACAGGUCGUGAGCGUGUUUCUUUGGGUACUCUGUCUCCUUCUUCAGUACGUAAUGGUGAGUUCACCUUCUUCUUCUAUGAUGUUUGUGUCAUCAUAAUAUUACUCUUGCAAUCGAUUUAUAACUCAUUGAUUUAGGACGAAGGACACACGUCACAUGCAGGAUAUGUCUUGCUCUUCUAACAGUCCUGAGUAUGGGAUUGACGUUACUCAAUUGACUGAGAACAAUGAUCCAUAUACUGCACAUUUUACCAGCGGUAUGUUAUCUACAAAACUGUUUCUCUGACUGUUGUACAUACAAUUCUGCUUAAAUAAACAUGAAAUCAUGUUCAUCGGAUGAUAUCCAUUUAUAUAAUAGAGCAAGCUCUGUAACUGGUAGUGGUGUUGCACUUGAUUCGAAGACACCAGGUACUAGCCGUAAUAUGUAGUGUUGUAAUGGUGUUUUGCUAUAUUAUAAGUUUUCACUUGAUUGCUAUUGGGACCAGAUGCUUUCCAUGCCAUCUAAUUAUGAUUUAUGCCUAACAUUAAGUUAAAAUAUGUUCAAACUAUUUAACCACAGUGUAUCAUCUGACAAAUCUAUCUGUAAUAACUGAUUUUGCGGUUCAGGUACUUUGAUUAUUCAGUGGCUGGUCACUAUUCAGGAGAGUGUGGUGAAAAGAAGUCUCUGGCGUGUGGCAAAAACAUUACUAAAUUUUGUUGUCAGGCUGUUCGGAUUUUCCUGGAGUUUGCACUUUGAAUCUGGAAGAAGGGCCAAUGUACAUCCAUAACGAGUUAUUGUAGAAAAGCCUGACGAGUGACGAGCAAUCACCUAUCGACGGAGAAGCUGUCACUGGAGAAGAUUACAUCCAUCCCUGCGUGGAGCGUCUCCAGAAUGUAGAGCAGAUACUUGACAAACUGAAGAACAGACCUGCUGAAAUUCCUAGAGAGAAGGAUCAAAUGCUUCUGCAUUCAUUGGAGAGAAUCAAGUCUGUGGAGUUUGACCUCGAUAAAACCAAGAGAGUAAGUCAUGCGGAUAUGUUGAGAUGUUAAUAAAUAAGCUUUGGUGUGUUGACCUGGUAUUAUUUUUCAUAUUGGUGUGUUGAACUGGAUUCAGUGCAUUUUGACAUUCCUUUUUUUUUUUUUACAGUUCUCUUUGAAAAUGAAGUACGCAUCCUAUAUUAUCACGUCCUCUUUGAACGUGAGGUGUAGACGGACACCAAUAUGCACCACAUACACAGCAUUUUGACUAAACUUUCCUCGCUAUGACAUUCUUCGUAUUUGAUUGAAAUUUUAGGUUCUGGAAUUGCACAUGGCACAUGUUCCAAAUCCGUUAAUCAUAGUGAUGCAUUCAAGCGAGCAGCACAAACCCAGGGUAUUGGUCUCCUUCCGGAUUCAGUGCAUUUUUACAUUCCUUUAUUAUUAUUAUUAUUCUCCUAAUAGUCUUAGUAUUAAGGUGAAUAUGACCUGUUGUCCAUAAAUUCAUUAUGUGUUUAUAUACCAGAGAUUUGCAGAAAGUUGAGAUAGUGACUGGUGUAAACUUCACACACACAAGUAAAAACUACCUUUGUAUCUCUUACCGGUAAAUUUUUAAUGUUGUUGUUUUGUCUAAUUAUUGAUAAUUGGUAUCAAUAGAAUAUUCCUAAUCCCCGCUAGCAAAACCUUUUUCUAUUUACAAUAGAUUAGGUGUACCUAAUGGCUAUUGUUGCAAAUAAAAAUGAUGAUUUUACGACUCAUUGUGUUUAAAUUCCUUCAUACAGCUUAUGUGAUUUUCUCUGCAGGACGAGAUUUUAAACAAGAGAGAGCCAAGAUUACAUGCAUGUCUAGCAUGUAAGUUUUGACAAAAAAUCUGGUUCCAAUAAUUUAGUAUUUUUAUCUCACCUUUUAAAAUUGACACCACCACUUUUGGAUCAUCCGCAAACAUUAUAGUGUUGGCUAAUAUAACUAUAAUUUGUUAUUUGUUAAUAAUUUGUGUGAUCUUUUUAUAAUAUGUAUAUUGAAGGAAACGACUAUGAUGGAAAAGACUAGAUUUAUUAACUCGUGGAAGGUCUACCGUCUCAAGCAGAGUAUAAAGCUAAAGAUAAAAUGUUUGCAGGUACCUCUCUUAGUCAAAGAGUAUAGCGUAUCUGAGUCUAAAGUAUUGUUAUUCAUGCAUAAAGUUUAUAUCAGAUGAGGAGAUAUAUAACCUUAUAACUUAUAUUUGAAUUUUGUAACGAUAUAUUGACCGGAAGUAUAUAUAUUAGUUUUUUCCCCAAUAUUUGGAAUCCCUCAGCUUGAACAAUGUCAAUAGAUUGAUAUUGGACCUAUCAGUUUUGUAUAUUCAUUAGCAUUGCUGCAUUUUAUUUAUGCAUUACCGUGCCACUAGAUCGAUGGACUGUUGAGGUUUAUUGUUAAAAUCGUUGUAUAUGUAUAACAUUAUUAUUAUUUUCAGGAGUGCUACAUUAUAUAAUGAGCAAGACCUGCUAAUAAGAGUUAAUGCAACCGAGGCUUCAGAAAGUAAAUUGAUGGAUAUCGGAGAAGUCUUAAUGCGAAGUGUAUUGUUUGAGGAAAACCAGAAAUAACAAGCAAUAGAAGCUGUAUAGAAUUUCAGAUAAUGGCAUCGGAGUAUAAGGUAGAGAUUUACCAUAUUCUUGAAAACUCUUCCCUUUAUCUUUCCUGAACUCAUUAAUUAUCAAUUUUUUUUAAAGAAAUAAUUAUAAAUUGUGAUUCAUCGAGACAGGUCCUGAUGUUCGUGUUCAAAACCUCAUUUAGGAAGCUCCUUAUUUUAAAAAAGCAGAUGGAAGUUGUAAAUAAAUGAAAUUGAAUCUUUGAGAAUGUAAGGUUCUGAUGAAAUUUUUGAGCCAGAGGUUCAGGAGCAUCUAUCUUUUGUUUCUGUUGUGCUAUGUUUUGUCAUAUUGAAGAAUGGUAAGUUUAUUGAUACUUAAUCUAUCUGGUUUUAGGCUAAUAAAGUUGCCAAAAUUGGUGGUUUUGUCGAUUCUUAGAAUCUUGCAGCUGGCAUGGGAUAUUGCAAAUGUGUACUGAAAGGUUUAGGUAUAAGAUAUAGAGAUUGUGCUAAUGGAAAACCAUGCCCACAUUUUAGAAUUAUUAGUUUAGUUGACAGAUUUUUGAUUUAGUUUUCUGUAGAGAAUUUGUUCUCCAGGUGUAGUGAAUUUUUUUUUAAUGUGAAUCAAUUUAUGUACUUUUAACAAUUUACUACUUACUGGACAGAUCUAUCUGACAACACCAAUAUUGUUUUUUAACAGGAUAUAGAAUAAAGCCUGCUACUACUGUUAGUCUGUUAAACCGUCACACAUAUCAUGGAAGUCAUGCUUCUCCCAAUAAUAUGAGUAUUUCUCAGGAUGUUUCUGCAAAAGGGAAUCGUCCGGAUUCAGACAUUACUAUUCUGGUGUCCAGUGGCGGUGCCACAUUAGGGCACCUGGGGGCUCGUGCCCCUCCAACUUUCAAAAAAACAACUAUAUUUUUGUGGAUCCCACAUGUAUUAUUAACAGGUGCCCCCAGCUGAACUAUGUGAUCAGGGUUAUGGUGUCCCUUUAUACAUUUCAUCCUGGCUCCGCCAAUGCUGGUGUCUGGUUUGGAACAAAUGGAUGUUCGACGUCCAGGUAACUUUUAUUCCUUUUAAAAUUAUUUUUUAUGGAGAAAAUAGCCGUUUAAACAUGAUUUGAUAGAAUCUCCUGCCAAACAGCCUGGUAUACAGAGAAGUCAGUUCCUGCCGUGAAAAACUUGAUGAUGUCAUUCAAUUAUGAAACUGUGUGUACCUGCCUAGAUCAUUGUAUGUGUAGGUUUGUACAUAGGAUUGUCAACGGAGUACCAGUUCUUCGGCAUCAUGUGUUACUAAAACAUGUAAACAGAAGGAUAAACCAACAAAUGUUCCUAACAUUUUUGAUACUCGCUGUUCUGAAACAUUUGACACACUUGAGUUUCACUUUCACCUUCCAUAGUAGCAUAUAGUACUCUAACUUUCUCGCUUAAUGGUGAAUCUGACAAUACAUUUUCAUCAGAUUGUGUAGUAGAUGAUGUUGCUGAUACAGUCCAGGAAGGUGUGUAGCUUUUUUCAAGGUUUAUUGUAUAUCACAGUAACAUUGAUGACAACACAUCAAUGUAACACCUUUUAUUUUUAUUGCAGCAGGUCGCGGUCAGUAUAGAGAACAUUGAGCAGGAGAUUCUGCCUCUAGAGCAGAUGAAAAUUGAACCUACUACAAAUACAAAUAGUUAAAUGGAAUCCGAGUUGCAAGCUAUAUCAGGUCACAUGCAAUCUGGAGCAUUUAUCUGAUACUAUAGGAGCAUCUUUAAAAUGAAUAAUAUGUUUAACAUUUUUUAUCACAAGGGUUUUGCUGAUUAGAUACCGAGCAAGAAUUAUCAAUUAGAGAAAAUGCAAACAAAAUAAAUUUGAUUGAUGUCCCAGCAGUCUCUAUGCAAUUUAUACUGUGUGAUAGAAAAGAUAUUUUAUAAAUAGUUACAUCAAUUAUUCAUCUAUCCAUUCUUUUAUUUCAUAAUGUAGGAAAAAUAUUAAUUUAAAAUUUGAUAUAUAGAUAUGUUUAUAUUUAAACAAUAAAUUUUUUAAUAUUAAAUCUACUAUAAAUUUUUGAUUUGUUUUUUAAGUUACAAGCGGCGACGCGGAGGAAUUUUAAUUAUUUUAUAAUUAAUAAUUAAUAAUUUUAAUGAAGAUAACAAAAAUUUAUAUGUUUUAUAUUGUUAGAAUAGAAAAAUCUAACAAAAUUUAUACGUUUUACAUGUCUAAUGCAAAUUUCUUAAAGUAGAGCACUUAUAAAAUUAAUUCAUAAUUUAUUUUGUUAAUUAUUGCUAACAAAUCCGAUAUACAAUAUUCGUAAAUGUAUCAGUUAUUUUUUCAAGAUUCAUUUAUUAUUCAUGUUGAUUUUAUUUCACCUAUUUCAUUAUAAAUAUAUUUUUUUUGGAAAUGGUUAAUAUUAAUACUUGAUCUUUUUAUAAUUUAAAUUUAACUAAUAUUAAAUUUGAAAUUUAAUAAAAAAUAUAUUUUAUUUAAAUAAUUUAACUCCGCAAAUUCUUAAGUAUAAUUUAUUAUAAGUUUUUAUUAUAUAAUUCAAGAUACGGGUGUCGCCCGUGGAGAAAGAAUCCAAAAAUAGAAAGACACCGAGAAACUCUAUUUAUAUAAUGAUAUUAUUUUUAAUCUUUCUUUUUCAUCAUUUUAAAAUUUUGUAAAGUAAUGACAUUAUAAAUAUUUAAAAAUAAAUUAAGUUAAUAUUUAUUAUUAUCUUAAAUGUACAAAAUAAUGAUUUAAUAAAUAGAUUCAUAAAAUUAUAAAUUUUUAUUCCACACAUGAGAUGUCAUUAUUAUAUUAAAUUAUUUUAUAUUUGCCAAUUUAAUUUUGAGCGGAAAAUCAAUUAUUAUAAUACAUGCACAUAUCAAUUUAUAAAAAAAUUAAAUAAAAUAAUAAACAGUUGUUCUUAUUUGAAACUUUAAAAAAUUACAAUAAAAAUAUUAUAGCUCCAAAAUUUCCGUCGAAAUGUAACUAUUGAUUUAGUAAAGAUAUGUGAAAAAAACGGGUUUGCGAUUUUAUCUUUUUUUUUAAUUAUUUAUGGAAAAGUGUGAUUGUUUGUUAAUCACCCUUCAUGUUCGGCUAAUUCAAGCUAAAGAAAUCAAUAUGUAUUGAUCUACAGUUAAUUCUGUCCAUUUUAAUCAAUUUCUCAUAUAAAUCAAAAAUAAAUUUAUAGGAGAAUUUUUUUUUUAAUAAAGGAAGGAUUAUGACACGAUUCGUAGUGUAACUUUCUUUCACCUACUUGAUUUGACUAUUUAUUUUUGUUUGCAAUUCUAAGUUUUUGAAGUGAGUUAUAUUCCGAGAAAUUUAUUGAUUAAGAGUGGCAAUCAAAAAAUUAUUAUAAAAAUAGUAAAAAAGAAUAACUAUUAUUUUAAACAUAAAUCUUCAUUAGAUUUAUUUUUAUGAAAAAUAAUAUAAUAUUUCAAUACGUAACUAUAAUAAUUUAUAUGAAAAAAAACAAGUUUUAAUGUAAAAAAAAAAAUAACAAAAAAAUUAAAAUUUUAACAAAUAAAUAAAAUUUAAUUAUAUAAAAUAACAUCACCCGUGUGCGAAGCACGGGCAUAAAGCUAGUAGUUGCAAAAGAGCUCUAUAGGUUUUUGCAGGAGGAUUGUGAAGUGCAGGCUUAGAACUAUAUAGGCAAGCUGAGGACAUAUCCCUGUCAAGUGUCAACGACAUAUUGGUAAUCAGUUCUUACUUGGUACCCUCUCAUGGAGAAGGUGUUCUGCACAUAAGUACUUUUUCAGUAUAUACUGGGUUAGUCAAACACCCUCAUAAUAAAGUAUCUCUAAAUACUUUUUUUGAUGAACAUGUGAUGAAUUUAAAUUGGUAUGAGACCAAAUGUAGAUUAUUUUAAUUAACAAUGUUACUGUACUUCUAUUUUCAUAGUUGUAUACUUGAUUCUGCCUUUUUUUUAGUGCUACUUUAAAGGUAAUAGUAUGAAUAAUUUUGUCGAUUAUGAGUAAUCACAUAUAUGAGUUCAGAGUCUCAAACACAAAUCUACUUGGUAACGGAUAGAGUUGGCUAUAACCAUUAUAUACCAGACUGGAUAUACAAUGUGAAGUUAUUGAAAUGCAGG
rnacentral:lncRNA from 1 species